CGUUGCAGCAGCAUGCACGUUAGCCAGAGCUUUUCUGCCUGUGAGAAACCAGUUGUGCUUUUCCAAAUGCAGCCAGAGCCUUAAGAGUGAGCGGUAGCAGGAGCAUCAGUGGCUGCGGAGCGUGGCUGAACAUUGGUGUUCUUGUGUCGUGCACGACGGGACUGCGGGAGUUUAACUGAAAGCAAUGUGAACAUCUCAGUAACUGCAUUGGCACUUCUCAUUUUGAAAUAGAUCAGAUAUGUGCUAAUAGUACUUAAGAGGCAUUACUUGGAGUGAUGUGUCACUGUCACAGCAAUAAAUAGCCCUUGAAACCAGAAAAUACCAGUUUUUGCUUUGAAGGAAACAGAGCCCU